CUUGCCCUUGAACAUUUUCAUGUUUCUUACCUUUUCUUUGGCAUCUUGAACAUGAUUCUAACAUCCUUCACACGCAGAAUAAAAUCUAAGGUCAGAAAGCGAGCUUUCAUUCAUACAGACUAAGACGUCGGAAGACCAGUUCAUGUCCCUGGUCAAUAAUGUAAAUUAUAGCAUGAUUCUCACAAAGAGAGAUGGUGUGGAAAUUCGCAAAUGAAUUUAUCAGACUAUUUUGUGGAGCUGGUGAAAUUCUGCAAGGAAGCAUGGCAGCCGAGUUGCCAAAAGCUGAGCAAACACUUGCUAGGUGCCACGACAAACUCCAUGGUAACUAAACAAAUACUUACAUUGUGUGCCUGCUAAUUUUCUGUGUUUUCCUAUCAUUGCUCUCUCUAAAGCUAUAAAUUAGUGUUUUGCAAGUAAGAAACACUGUGCAGGGGACACUGUGCAAGUGCAGCAGGUGUGGCACCUGUUGCACCUACACUACAAGCUAUGUCAGUUGCAUCAGAAAAUGAGUGGACUGAGAAAGCGGUCGAAGAGGCUGUUUGCUCUGACCAACCAGCUCAGCAGAUGGCAGAAUUUUCGCCGUGUGAUGGUGGGCUGUUCCAUCCUUCCAACAAUAUAUGCAUCACACAAGGUCAAGCAGCAAAGCUUUUAAAAAAAAAAAACUAUUUUGGUAAGGGAUGCUGCCCAAGUUGUGUGGCGAUGUGAUACGCUUGCACAGAGGAGUGUAAAUGGAAGGCUGGCUCCCAUGAAAGCGAACAGUAGGCAGGAGCCAUCCAAACAGCUUACACCAGAAAAAGUGGACGUUGUUUAAGGAAGCCUGGCUCACUGGGGCCAGGUCAACAAUAUUGAUACUACACUGGCCCACCAUAACGUGAUGCAGACUCUAAGUGAGAAAAUCCAACUCUGCAAAAAAAAAAAACCUGCGUAUGAAGUAAUGUACAGGCGAGUAUACAUGAAUAAACGGAGUC
rnacentral:lncRNA from 1 species